rnacentral:rRNA from 1 species
AAUAUCGCGCAAGGGAGGGAACGCUGACGCAGCGACGCCGCGUGAGCGAUGAAGGUUNNNGGAUCNUCAAUCUCUGUCCUUGGNGACNAAGGUCUUCGGACUUGACGGUACCUAAGGAGGAAUCCACGGCUAACUACGUGCCAGCAGCCGCGGUAAUACGUAGGGGGCAAGCGUUGUCCGGAAUUAUUGGGCGUGAAGGGUGCGUAGGCGGCCUUUUAAGUCAGAUGUGAGAGCCCACGGCUUAACCGUGGGACUGCAUUUGAAACUGGAGGGCUUGAGUAUCGGAGAGGGUAGUGGAAUUCCCAGUGUAGCGGUGGAAUGCGUAGAUAUUGGGAGGAACACCAGUGGCGAAGGCGACUACCUGGACGAAAACUGACGCUGAGGCACGAAAGCUAGGGGAGCAAACA